rnacentral:misc_RNA from 1 species
GAUGAAGAACGCAGCGAAAUGCGAUAAGUAAUGUGAAUUGCAGAAUUCAGUGAAUCAUCGAAUCUUUGAACGCACAUUGCGCCCCCUGGAAUUCCGGGGGGCAUGCCUGUUCGAGCGUCUCAGGGACGAACCCUCGCGCGGGUGUACGCGCGGUCGUGGCUGCGGUGGCGUGCCCGAGGCGGCGGCCACCGCGCUGGAAUCCAUGGGCGGACGCCUGCCGCGUGGCCGAGCGUGAUAUGGCGCAUUGGCGCUCGCACGCGGCGAGGCUGCCAGCCCUGGCCCGUCUGUCGGGCGGGGGAGAGCAAGACACGUGAACUCCUCGAAUCAGGUAGGGAUACCCGCUGAACUUAAGCAUAUCAAUAAGCGGAGGA